rnacentral:lncRNA from 1 species
AACAAAGCGUUUCAUAUUAGACUGCAGAAUCCAGUGAAGAAUCUGCAGGAUUAGUGUUAAUUUAAUAAAUAGUGCUGCUCUGCCCCUCUGUGGGAAUACUGAGAAGUGCAUGAGAAGAUGCACAGAAUUCAGAAUCAACUAAUACAGAUACCAUUAGUUAGAGAAAGAGGCUAAGUACAAAUAAAAUCCAGAGGCUUCUCUUCUAAUACGAAAUCCAUGCCAAAUAUUUAUAUUUUCUGAGUAUAGUGUCACUAGAUGCAAAACGAUAAGAUAUAAAUGACUUGGAACGUGAUUUGCAAAUGUCAGUUUUAAAUUCAUCUACUUUUAAAGUUGAAUUCAAUGUAUCUAUAUACUUAUUUUCUAUUUCUUCCACGUGAAAUGUCACUCGGUGGUGUAUAAAACAUGGUUACAAGUUUAAAAGUGAAACACAGGGAUAACAGUGAUAAUUAACAUUGAUUGAGUGAUUGCUAUAUAUCAGGCACCAGGCAAAUAUUAAUUCUUUUAAUCUUCAUACACAACACUCUGAGGGAGACAGGAAACCUCAUGGUAUACAGGACACCUCAAAGACCUUUAGGUAAAUACAUAAGCCCAAGACCACUUCUCAAGUGAGAGUCAGAAUCCAAGUCCAAGUAUCCUACCUCCCAGUGCAGCAUUUAUUUCACUUACACAAAGAUGUUUGGUUCACAGCCCUGAAGAGAAACCAUUUACCAGACUAACCUUGAUUAAGAAAUGUCUAUCAAAACUGAAUAAACAGAAAGUAUUGCAACUGCAUCUGACAAUUACAUGUUUUCUUCCUACUGUUUUUAAUAUUGAAAGAAAAAGAUGCUGACAAAAUUAUGAAAAAAAAGCAUGACAAUUAUUUAUUCCAUUAUAUAUUAAGCAGGCUCACUUUAAAAUAAGUUGAUUAGCAUUAAAGUCUUAUCUGAAGGCCCACAAUGAACUUGAAAUGAUUCUACUUUCCCGAAGUUUAUAUAUUUUCCCCCAUGAUCAAACAUAAUUAAAUCCUGUUUCUAAAAUCUAGACAUCCAUAUGAGAGUUCCCAAGGAGUUCCUAUGGCUUGGUC